AAGCCCGAUUUAAAACUCGAGCGAACUUUAGUGGUCCAGUACCAGAAAGAGGCCUUGAAGGCAAGAACCUGGUCUUGAGUCACUUUCUCUGGUGUAGCCAAUAAGUCUCCCUCGUUCAGGUCUCUGCCACAAGGACCAUAGUUGUAGUUCCAAGAGAGCUGGAUCGCACCACGACCGUAGUAGCCCUUUCCUGGUACACAUGGGAACUCUGUUUUUUCUGGGUUACAGUAAUCUCCAGCUGCGGCCUUGGCUGGUCCACCAACUUCCUCAAUGCCGCACAUGACUGCAACAAGGUAUAUAACCAAAUGAUUAAAAAACGAAUCCUAGUGGUAAUCAAACUGAUCACUAAAUUAAAGAAAGGUGAGAGAAAACCCUAAUCUCUGCUUCUUUUUCGGCGGCCGCCGCCUCGUGCGGUCGCCGGAUCCGCCUUUCGUCCUCUUGUGUGUCUAUGUGUUUCUCUCAAUCUCUUCUCUGUCCCCUUCGUUUUUCUGCAGUAGUGUCGUAGUGAAUGAGUUUUUGCUUGAAGUUCAGAUCCGGUGUUGCUCUCUUCAGAUCUGGAAGUUUCCGGCGUUUGGAGUUGCUUGAGGAUGACCUCUCUCUCUGUCGUGUUCGUCCUCUAUUCUUGUUGCAGACUCUGCGAUUGGUUUUCUCUGUUCCAGCUGGUGCUUCGUGGGUCUCACGAUGGGUUGGGGUUCUAGGUUUCACCAUUCGUGUAAGAUUUGUGCUCUCUAUUGGUUUGAGGUUCCUUUGUUGGUUCUCCGGGAGUUUCUGGCUCCUAGUGGAGAGAUGGUUUUGUCGUUCGUUUCCGGUUCCUAAUGGAGCUACGGUCUUUGUGUGUUUGUUGACUUGCUCUAUCUCCUGCGACUUUCUGAUUGGCAGGUUGGUUACAUUUUCAGCGGCCACUGUUAGGUUAUCAUAAGCCAUAAUUAGUGAGAAUUGUUCUUUUAGAGAAGGAUCUCAAAAAUUUGUGUUCUUUUCUAGCCACUACUGUGGAUAAAAAAGGAGCCAGUUUAAAAGAUCUGAGUUUGUGUUUUAACAAUCUGUACCCUAAUUUUGGAUCUUCGAUAUCAAAGACAAAUGGCACAUAACUGUGUCAUCUCCGUGAUCUCAUUUGUUCAUGCUUAAUACUUAAAACAUGACAUGGAUUUUUAGUUCAUCGCUAAUAGUGUCACAAGUAGUCACCGUUAUCAUGCGUAUCUUGCGACAUGUGGUCCUCAAUGGCUUGACCUCACUAUCUGAGAAGAGGCAUCCAAUGAUGGCGUAUAGUUACAUGGAUGUGGCGCUGUGGAUAUUAUGUUCUCCAUGCAGUUAUCCUUCGCUUCUUUAGUCCACUGCGAUUUGAUAUGACACCUAAUGGUGUAUUCUUUUUACUUUCUAUAUUAUGUUUCUUGUUUUUCCUCAAUCCUCUGUUUGUGAGGUGUGUGUGCUUCAGGGGGCUCAUUUGUUAAACUAUUUGUUAUUGAAUACAAUCAGCGUUAAAAAAAAAAAGAAACACUGUUUCAUAAAAAGUCUAAUUUUGAUACUAUUCACAUAAGUUAAGAAAAAGGUUAAAAUCAAUGUGUGCCCUUAAGAAUCAUUUAUUUAGUUAAUAGUCUCUGAGAAAAUUAAAUAUAUUUAUAAAAUAAAAACAUUUUUACAAUAAAUACGAAGGUUAAGACAGGUAGAAUUUUAUACAAAAUUAUCUUAGAAUGUUCUAAAAUGACACAUUUUUAUAAUCAACACAUUUUGUCAAGAAAAAGUGUCAAAACAACACUAUAUGAAACAAAGGAGUAUAUGUUUAUAAUCCUAAAAUGAAACGAAUAAUAAAUACACUACAAAAUAAUCUAAUAUCCAUAUAUGAAAAUUGGAAACUCGAGAGAAUUAUCAAAAUAAUGUUAUAGUUCCAAAAAAGAAAUUAUGAAUUUAAUUAUGUAGAGAAUUACUUGCACCAGGUGGAUUUGUUCCUGGUUCGGUUCUUGAUUUAACUCGGGUUUGUUCAAUUUUCUGGUUCAAUUUGGUUUCCAUCUUUAGUAUGUAUUGAGCUUUUAGAAUAAAAUACUGGGCUGGGCCUAGAGUAAUAAUUUCUUACAAGAAAACCUUUCAUAUUACAAACAAAUCAAUUUUAGCACGUUUUUCAGGCAUAUGAUAAACUUAAAAAAGUAGUUACAACUCAUAUAUAUACAUGUAUGUAUAUAUAUUUAAAAUACUGAGUGAUGGCAGCUAAAUAACUUUAAUGAUUUACUUUUUGCUCCAACGACAAAGAUAAAUCGCACACCCGGGUUCAUUUUACACAUACAUUAACUCCAAAGUUCUAUAGAGAGAGAGUAAAGAGCAGACAUAGAGACGGAGAUAAGAUGGCCAUGGCAACAAAAUCAGUUUCUUCCUUCACCCUCAUUUUCAUCCUCGUUUUGGUUAUUUUUGGUAAAGCAACUAACACCUAUUUUUACCAAAAACAAACAAAACUAAUACCGCAUUUAUUUCACAUAUUUAUUUAACUCUGUCUGGUUCAUAGGAUCUCAAGAGUUUUAAUCAUGCAGCGCGUUUUAUCAUAGUAUGUGCUUACUAUUUUCUAAAACAUUCUAUAUAUCUAAUGAGCAGAAGUGCCGGAGAUAAAAGCGCAGGAUAGCGAGUGCCUGAAAGAAUACGGAGGCAACGUGGGUUUCAACUUCUGUGCGCCUCGGAUUUAUCCGUCGUUUUGUUAUACAAGAUGCCGUGAGGACAAGGGCGCGAAAGGUGGGAUAUGCCGUUGGGGAGAUUCCCCUGAUUCUGUUAAAUGCUUAUGCGAAUACUGCAGCGACCAAAUUUCUCACCAGAUUCUAAGUGGCGGUAUUUGAAUCAUUCAUGCGUGAUGGUUUGUGUAAUAAUAAAAUGCGUGAGCGGUGAUCUAAGUAAUGAUGUAACAAUGAAUAUGUGAAAUAAAAAGCCUGGAAGUACUAAGUCUCGCAUGGUUUGGAAUUUUGGUUAAAGAUAUGGGUAUUGUGGUGGAGAGGCGAAGAGAGUAAUUAUGAUGGAAUAAUUCAUGGUUCGGUUGUUUGUUAGAACUUUCUGGUUCAGUUCGGUUAGGCAAAGAAAAUAUUUAGUUUGCCCCUACAUGUCCAGAUUCCAGAUCCAGCGCCAAACAGUGACCUUUAUUUAGAGACCUGCCACUUAAGUGAAUGUGACCAUUUGAUGACACAGUAGAUUCAUUCAGCUAAUUAAUAUUAUUACAAGAUCAUAAUAAAUCCGUCAAGAAGAUUGAUCCAAAAGAAAAAAAUCAGUCAAGAAGAUCAAAUUAUUCAGGCUUUUGUAUGGAUCUGUUCAAGAAUUUUCCCUAAUGGAACCAUAGCCACAUAAUUAGCAGUAACUUGCAACAUUUGAAACCUUAUACAUAGAUCUGGGCGACGGGGAUGAGAAUACGGUUUCGUCAGCUAUUCAUUUGGUUUGGUUCAGUUCGUUACCUGAAAACCAAUCGAGGACUAGGGACCUGUCCAACUUUGGUAUCUUGGUACACAAAAAUUCGAACACGAUAUCUUAUAUAUUAAAACAGAAGUCACAACUUUGAUUCAUGUGUGAUUUUUAAAAAAAAUGGAUCUAAUGAACCUAUUUUUCAGAAGUCACAACUUUGAUUCAUAUGUAAUUUUUUAAAAAAUGGAUCUAAUGAACCUAUUUUUAAAAAAUCAUGUUACAUUUAAUUUCUAAUCUUAUUAUUUAAAUUUUGGGUCUACCAGAAAUUUUUAUUCGGCUAUCAAUAAUUAGAUUUAAAAAAUAGAUGAUUCAUUAGAUUUAUAGAUAGUAUAAAUUAAAUAGAUAUAAUUUAAUGUUGUAAUACUAUACAUCCAUAUGUUAAUUAUUUAAAUAUUUGUCGAUGUUGACUUUUUAAAAUUAUAAAUAUUUUUUUUUAAAUAACAAAAAUCAUAUUAUCUAACAAUGAUUAAUCUUUACUACCUUAAACCAAUGAAAACAAAUUUUAAACUAUAUAGUUUAUUUUAAAAAUUAAACAAAAACUAAAUGUUUAAUUAUUUACUCGAUAAUAUAAAUCUACGAAGCAAAAAGUUUAAUUUUUUAAGAACUAUAUAUUUGUGAAAUGUUAUAGUAUCUUUGAAUAUGACAAUAAAAAAAUAUUUUACUAAUCUUUAUAUAUAUAGUUAUGAUUUUAAUAAUAAAAUAAUAAUCCAAAAAUAUAUAUAUAUAAGAAGAUACAAAUACAUGUGAAAGUCAAUGAAAAAAAUAUACUGUAAACUUAUUAUGUUUUAAAAAUUGAUAGACACAUAUAUAUUAUAAUAUAUACCAAUUUAGAAUUGAAAACAAAAUAUUUAUAUAAAAAUAAAUUAAAAAAAUUCAAAUAAGUUUUGAAAGAAGCUAUAAAUUCAAAUAAUCAAUCUAUUGAUAUUUUGAAAGAUUGAAACUAAUGAAAAGUAAAAUUUGGGCCCUAUAGUCGGAUGAAAUUAUUUAAUAUGGUGGACCGUACGUUACUUGUCUACACAGACCACUCGUUCUGAUAUUUCUUAUCAGAAUGGUUUAUUUGGGUUACAACGUGCAACUAAGUUAAAUGAUCGCUACACGAUUUAGCUGCAGUUCAAAGUUUCAUUCUUCUGUUAAAAUUGCAUGUGUCUGCUUGUGUGUGUCAUCGUCGACAUGUUCAUGUGUGGUAUUAAAACGAGUUCGCUUCAGUUUGUGUUUUCUGUUCGUUUGUGUUUAACAGUAAACGAAUUGAAGCUAGGAGUGACAUCUUAUGAAUAUUCAUGCAUUUAAAUGGAAACACAGAGAUACAUCCAAUGUGUGUUGGUGAUAAGUUCACAAUAAUGGAACCUCUGUCCUAAAAUCCAAUGUGACUAGGCAUAAAUGGAAAUCGUUUCAUGAUUACAUUAUUACAACAACAUUACUAUACUAGUAUGAUACUUUCUCUUCUGUGGUGUCUUAUUCGUAUAUUGCCAACAUUGGCUGUUUCAGAUGCAUAGAGAGAAACCUUAACAAGUGAGGUUUUCUCCAGGCUGAACUCCAAGCUUGCCACAAUAGUCCUGGAAGUACCUAACCCUGUUGGCAGCUUUCUCUGUAGAAUCUCCUCCGCUACACUCCCUACUAUUCACAGCCCUGAUGGUCGCCCCAAAGCCCGAUUUAAAGCUCGAGCGAACAUUAGUGGUCCAGUACCAGAAAGAGGCCUUGAAGGCAAGAACCUGGUUUUGAGCCACUUUCUCUGGUGUAGCCAAUAAGUCUCCCUCGUUCAGGUCUCUGCCACAGGGACCAUAGUUGUAGUUCCAAGAGAGCUGGAUCGCACCACGACCAUAGUAACCCUUUCCUUGUACACAUGGGAACUCUGGUUUUGUUGUGUCACAGUAUUCUCCACGUG
rnacentral:lncRNA from 1 species